AAAAUAACACAAAAAUCUAGGGGAUGUUAAAUAAAAUGUUCCAAGUUUCUUGCAUUGUCCAGGUAGUGAUAAAACAAUAAUACUACAGUUUACAAAUCAAGAAUGCAUGUUGUAAAAUGUGUGUCAAUUCUAAAGAAAAAUAAAAGAGUACAUAGUUAAGAAUUGACAGGAAAAUAAAUGAAUUAAAAUUCUUAAUUGAACUUUUGCUUCAGAUACAUACAGAACUUUCCCUGCUACUUUAAAGAGCUAGAAAACUGGACAAAUGAUACGAAAUAACGAUUUUAAGGCAUUAGAAUAAAAAGCGGCACUACACUGUGAUCCCUGAGAAAAGGAAAAUAAAUGAGUAGGAACUACUAUCCCUGGAUUUCCAUAUGGAGUCAUUUUCAAGAUUACAACAUGGAAGGAUUUAACCAAACAGAAUAUGGAUGUCUGACUGAAUUGAGGAACUAGAAAUCAGAGUUUGAGGCAACUGAGGUUGCUGGCAGUAGUGGGACAAAGUACCAUAGAAAAGUAAGAUAUGCAGAAAAAGAGAUCCAGAAAUCUGCAUAGGAUCUCUUGAAUGGGCUGCUAAACAACAAGCUGUAUAUAGAUAGGGUAAGAGUGGACAAGAACAGGCAAAAACUAUCAAGAACCAGCUGAGCCAUUCCAAAGCUCAUGCAGGGUUGGGAGACAUUCGAGUUCCAACCAGUCACGGUUAAGGAGCUCUUCUGAUUAUCCAGAGCAUUCAGUAAGAUUCCAGAAGGGUCAUGACUUAGCAACAGAACUAAACUGGCUCUAGAAUAAAGACUAGUUUCAAUCUACUUUCUUUUAAAAAGAUGAAAAGAAAUAAAGGGGAAGAAAAGAGAUGAGAAAUUUGAAAGAAUGAAGAUGAUCCACAAGAAAAGACACAAAUCUCAUUAGAAAGCUGUGCCAACACCAACGCUCUCUGCUGAAGAUGUACUCUGGGUCCUCUAGGACAAGUGGCAAUGUGACUCUGGAGGGCAUUGGCCACUUCCAGAGUUGGCUGAGGAGAAGCAGGAAGGCACCAACGAAAAUCAAAGUGGCAACUGCACCCUCUUCCAGGAUGCACAGAAGCUGUCCCAAGAUAAGUGGGUAA
rnacentral:lncRNA from 1 species